UUUUAUUCGCUUUUUGGGCAAACCAACAGGUGAAACAUCACGGUCAACUGGUGAAGCACCAUCCAUCAUCAGCGUAGCGGUUGACUGCUAGGCUGGUGGAUUUCAUAUAUAAUACAAAAGGGUGACGCCAUAACAAGGUUGAAAGCGAAGAGUCGAUUUUUUCAUUUUUAUUUGCUUAAAGUAUACUAAUGCUUUAGAUUUGUCUAGUCUUACUUCCCACGUCCGUAUUCCUUGCAUUAAGUUCUGGCUCAAAAAGCUUUGAACGAAAAUCUCUAUAUAGGUUUGAAAGGUGCUCAAACUCUUCCGAGUUUAAGCUUGGACUAUUUUUCUUCAAAGCUUCCAUGAGCAUAUAAUCUUCUAUUACGACACUUUUUGAAUCACUCAUACUUUGCAUAUUUUGAUUAUAGCGACUUUCAGGUGGAAGAGCAAGCAUUGACGCAUUCCUUUUUGACUCAGUCGUCAAGUUAGUGAAGGAACUUGUGGUUUGACUGGGGUCCACUGCGUUUAUACUUACACGUUUCAAUAGUUUAUGAACAGCAAUCAAAUGCGCAUCGUACAGAAGUGACGAUAAGUCAGCAUAAGUAUAACCAUCUGUUAAAGUUGACAAUUUCUUUAACAUGGCCGCAUUUUCAAUAUGGAAUCGGUUUGCCAAUUUCUGUAAAACUUCAAGUCUUUCUUCUUCGUUAGGCAAAUCACAGAAUAUCAGCUUAUCGAGACGACCAGGACGUAAUAAUGCAGGAUCAAUCAUAUCAGGCCUAGUAGUAGCUGCCACAAUGUAAACACCAUCUAAGCUCUCAGCUCCAUCCAUUUGUGUAAGUAUUUGAUUAACAACUCUGUCCGUAACUCCAGUACUAUCUUGUCCUCUUCUGGGUGCUACUGAAUCAAAUUCGUCAAAAAACAAAACACACGGCUUGGCCAUUUGAGCUCUACUGAACAAAUCUCGAACACCCUGCUCCGAUUUCCCAAUAUACUUAUCCAAAAGUUCGGGCCCUUUUAUGCUUAUAAACUGAACUGGAAAAGUACUUGAAAUUGCGGAAGCCAAAUACGUUUUGCCGCACCCGGGAUAACCAAAAAGUAGAAUUCCCGUGGGAAGGCGAAGCCUACAUUGUUUAUAUAUGAGAGAGUAUUUAACAGGAGACUCUAUUAUAUCUCUCACAGCUUCUUUCGCUUCUUGCAUGCCCGCAAUAUCAAUCCACCGAAUACUGGACUUGACAAAUUUAGCUUUCCGAAGCUGCA